GGCGGCAUGGAUUAGGCAUGCAAGUCGAACGGUAACAGAGGUGCUUGCACCUGCUGACGAGUGGCGAAAGGGUGAGUAACCCGUGAGCAACCUGCCUCGAAGUCCGGGAUAGCCUUGGGAAACCGAGAUUAAUACCGGAUGUGGCUGUUUUUCCGCAUGGUUUUACAGCUGAAGUUUUUUCGCUUCGAGAUGGGCUCGCGUUCCAUCAGCUAGUUGGUGAGGUAACGGCUCACCCAGGCAGCGACGGAUAGGUGGUCUGAGAGGAUGGUCACCCACACUGGGACUGAGACACUGCCCAGACUCCUACGGGAGGCUGCAGUCGAGAAUCUUCCGCAAUGCGCGAAAGCGUGACGGAGCGAUGCCGCGUGCCGGAUGAAGGCCUUCGGGUCGUAAACGGCUGUCACCCGGAACGAAUAUUGACGGUACCGGGAGAGGAAGCCACGGCUAACUACGUGCCAGCAGCCGCGGUAAUACGUAGGUGGCUGGCGUUAUUCGGAUUUAUUGGGCGUAAAGGGUUCGUAGGGGGCCGAGUAAGUCUGAUGUGAAAUCCAACGGCUCAACCGUUGAACUGCAUUGGAUACUGGCCGGCUAGAGUACUGGAGAGGUAAGCAGAAUUCCUGGUGUAGCGGUGGAAUGCGUAGAUAUCAGGAGGAAUACCGACGGCGAAGGCAGCUUACUGGACAGUUACUGACCCUCAUGAACGAAAGCUAGGGGAGCAAACAGGAUUAGAUACCCUGGUAGUCCUAGCUGUAAACGUUGUUCACUAGAUGUAGGCGGAUUGGUCCGUCUGUGUCCAAGCUAACGUGAUAAGUGAACCGCCUGGGGAGUACGGC
rnacentral:rRNA from 1 species